UACGCAGGAACGCAGGGCGGGACGCCAGCCGGGUACCCCAGCAAACCGGCCCACAUCAUCUUCUUUCCCAGUCCGAGGUGACCCAGCCAGGGUCUGCGUGUCUGAGGGCUGGUAUGGUCCAACUCCGGCACCCUGCCAUGCCAGAGACAGCCAGACCACCCCGCAUACGAAUGGCAGAUUCAACGGAGAAACAGCUGGGUUCUGACCUGCUUCUGCAUUCAGUCAUUCAUGUGUUUGGCUCAUGACGUAGCAAGUGAGUGAAAAGCAAACCAUGUCUUAGUGUUAUGAUGAACAUAGUUCUGACCCUUGGAAAGCUCAGUGGGUCAAAACAGAGGUGCCAGCACUACACUCUGAGAAUUGGUUGUUGGACAGAAGUUCUUCCAGGCCUGCUCUCAAGCGCCUAAGAGUACAGUGAAGAAACUUACCCAGCGCCCAGCUCCCGCCUCCUUGGUCUCACCAUAGCCACCAGCGUCACACUCACCCUCAGAGCACGCCCCGUGAACACUGAGCCUGUGGCACUACUUCUGAAGGUUCUGGUCUGGUUCAGUUGCAGAAGGCCCUUGUGAUACUGCAGAGCAAUUCGGGCUGUCACUCCCGAGCCCGUGGGGCUUCUGUCGACCUGUUUCAGAAUCAGGAAUGACAGGAGUUGAGUGGUCUCCAUCAGCUGCUUCCGGUGUUUGAGCCUAACAGCUGCCGUCCUGAUACCUGUUCAUCUGCAAAGACACAGAUGUUGGUGGUAGGCUCCUCGCUGUAGACAUCUUUUCCGUCUGUUAAAAUAGUGCCAUACAGAAAACCAAGGUCUUCACUCUCGGGAUGGUUGAUUUUAAACUGCAAAUAAAGUGGCCAUAUGUAAAA